CUCCGUUAACGGCGCCGCGAUGAUGGGCGGCAAACCGAGCGCGAUCGCCGCGGGCGUCUGCGGCGCGAUCUUCAUCGGGGAGGAAGAAGCAGAGAGCUGCUCAAAAUAAAUCUGGACUCGCUGAACUGCCAGAUCUUAAAGAUGCGGCAGCCGUGCA